UCGAACCCACGAACUGUGAGAUCAUGACCUGAGCUAAAGUCAGACGCUCAGCCGACUGAGCCACCCAGGCGCCCCAUGACUGAGAAUUUUAAGUUCCUGCAUUGGAGAUGUCCGAAGGGUGUUCUUUUUUGUGCUUUCUUUGAUGUGUCUACAUACAGAAUCCCGUCCCCUGUGUUUAGAGAGAGUUUUACUUCUUCUGACCAUGUCGGUUGCCCGUGACUCCUUUUUCUUGCCUAGCUGCUCUGGCUAGAAUUUCCAGCAGCGAUGAAAGCAGCCAAUCUGCUCUUUAUCAUGUUGAGGAAGUUCCCUUCUAUUUCUGGUUUCCUGGGUGUGUUUUUUUUAUCGUGAAAGGAGGUUGGGUUUUGCGAAAGAAGAGGUUUCUUUUCUGCACCGAUUGAGAUGAUCAUGUGUUUCCCCCCUCCAUUCUAUUAAUGUGGGGUAUUAUGUUGAUUGAUUUUUUUCCCAUGUUGAACAGCCUUGCAUUCCUGGGAUAAAUCCCAUUUAGUCAUGGUGUGUAACCUUUUUCAUAUGCUGCUGAGUUUGGUUUGCUAGUAUCUUGUUGAGGAUUUUACACUAUCGUCAUAGAGGAUGUUGGUCUAUAGUCUUUUUUUCUUGUGAUGUCUUCGGCUUUGAUAUCAGGGUAAUGCUGACCUUGUGGAAUGACCUCAUGUUCUUUUCUCUCUUAUUUUUUUUUUUUUUGAAGACUUUGAGGAAUACUGGUGUUAAUUGUUCUUUAAACAUUUGGUAGAAUUCACUGGGAAAGCCAUCUGUUCCUGAAUUUUUCUUUCUUGGGAGGUUUUUAAUUACUGAUUCAACCCCUUUAAUGUUCUAGUGUCGCAGGUGAGUGGGAGAGACGCUGGUCCUUGUCUCGCCGAGUUGAGCAAUGAAUCUCGCAGACACGAGAGUGAGCAAAGAGACAGAGUAUACUGAGCCAAGUACAAAGCUCUCAAGGGAUCCCUCACUGCCAUUGGGGACCAAGGACAGUGACAGUUCUGGCUUCUUCAAGCUGAAGAGGGACGGCGUAAGGGUAUGGCACUCAGAGUCUACCAAGGGUCGGUCGAGUGGUCCCCGGUUAUGGCUCCACAGGAAGGCUGGCAGGCAUGAGGCGGCACAGACAUCGGCAGCCACAAAGAGAAAACCACCAAUGACUGUGCUGACCAACAAGAUGGCGCCCGGGAAGGCCUCUACCAAUUAGAAAAGCAUCAGCCCGUACCAACAGAUGCUGGAGCCCUUUUGACCUUGGCACCUGCAUGCACUCUGAUUGCCCGUCUUCUCCUGGAUGGCUUCCAGUUCUCUGACUGCCUGGGAGGGCAAGGUCGUGGUUCAAAGGAUUGUUUCUAAGACAGACGUCACAGGCCGAAACUACUUGUUGAACUGUCCUUGACAGAUUUUUCCUGCAUCGAUCUGACCAUGAGAUAGUACUGUGCUGAGUACUUCCCUCAGGGGGCCAGGACUCUCCACCCCCCAGGCGAUACUGAGGCCAAGCCUGGGAACAACCACCACCGCAACAAACUUCGUGCACUUCUCUCUGAGCAUUUGUAGAUCCAAUCUUUCCCAAUUUUUCAGAACACCUUCCAGAGGAGUUUCCCAGCUCGAGAUCCCGACAGAAGUCAAGAGCCUCCGUACCUGGUGACCAGGUAGGGGUGACCAGAAGGCGUCCCUGCGUAUCAGCUCUUGCCGCCUACCAGCGGCGCGUGGGAGAAGAAGUCAGCUGCAAAAGAAAGGGAGGAGGGGUCGACAGCUGGAAGAAUUGCCGCCCCGAACAACUCCUCGUUCCCGUAUUUAUUGGGAAAGGGAAAACAAUCAUCAAAAGACAUCAAGAUGUAUUGCAUUGUUCAAAGAGCGUUCUCAAGAGAAGAGCGGAACUUGCUUAAAGCGUGUAGGCGGGGGGG